CCUGCCCCUAGAGGCCGAGCAGGUAUGGCUGCUGUGUCACACAGGCAUCAGUAGGUGGCAGAGAGCAGAGAGGCUAUGUCUACGCUCUAUGUUCUGACCUGUAAACAGCUGAACGAUUAGUAGCCUAACAUU